GCCUUCGUGGUGUAGUGGUCAAAACGUUCGACGCGUAACCGAGAGGUCCGUGGUUCGAGUCCCGACGAGGGCA
rnacentral:tRNA from 1 species